UCCUAUUUCACGCUUAGAUUGAAGAAUGAAAACAGGACAAAAACGGUUUUCGGGGAUUGGCUCCCCCUCGCGCUGUGGCAGCCCUCUGUACCGGCCAUUGGAUGACGGGUGGAGCCCUACCCAUAAGGGCCAUGAGGACCUGACGUCAUCCCCACCUUCCUCCGGUUUGUCACCGGCAGUCUAAUUAAAGUGCCCUUUCCUAGCAACAAAUGACAAGGGUGGCGCUCGUUGCGGGACUUAACCCACCAUCUCACGACACGAGCUGACGACGGCCAUGCAGCACCUGUGUUCAAGUUCUCUUUAGAGCAAUUCCACAUCUCUGCGGAAUUCUUGACAUGUCAAGGGUAGGUAAGGUUUUUCGCGUGGCAUCAAAUUAAACAAAAUCAUCCACCGCUGGGGCGGGGCCCCGUCAAUUCCUUUGAGUUUCAACCUUGAGGCCGUACUCCCCAGG
rnacentral:rRNA from 1 species